rnacentral:sRNA from 1 species
UCCCCGCCACCGAUAGUAGCGGAAAUCCUUUCUGGAUAAGGAGUGCAAUCUUGGAUUUAUACAGAUUUGAACUGCCAUUUAGAAACGUUUCCAGAAAGAUUGGAGCGGAUAGCGGGAUCGCCU